CCGCUCCAGGCGCUGCCUACGCGGCCGGAGGAACCACUGCGAUGGAGGAGAAGACGCGGCGAUGCGGUCCUCAGCGAGCUCCAAGCGGUAAUCUUUCUUCCUUAAACCCUAGAUUUGGUCCCUUCUGUUGUCAUUCUUGGGUUUUUCAUAAUGAAAAUCUUGUAGCUGUGGGAGACGAAGGUGAUGCAAUCGAUAGUCAUGUCAGGGAAUUUUGAAUGGCAGCAUGUCCACGGGUCGGUGGGUCCCGACCGACCGGUUAGAGAUCUGAAUGUUCUGUACGAGGAGUAUGAGAUGCCUACGGCCGAGAUGUUGUUUCCUCCGGUGAUCCCUCGCUGGUGAAUUGAAUGUCAAUUGGGGGGUAUUUACAUCUACAUACCAACCAUAUUUGUAAAUUUACCCACCAAGUCUAGAUAUUUGAUAAAUUUCGCGCUAAUAUAUCAUAUUGAGUUAGCAUGACCGCAAAGAAUUAGGAAUGUAAGAGGUAUCUUAACUCAAUGGGUAGCCGGGUGGGGGUUUAAUUAGCAAGUAUAUAGAUUUGGGUUGUAAAAUUGCAAAUAUGGUGGUUUUGUGGUAUCUAUGUAAAAAUAUUAUCUCCAUAUCACUUUAAUAGGGAUUUUUUCGGUUGAGGAAUUGCUUGCUUGUUAUUCUUAGACUCCAUUAUAGACUCCAGCCAAGACUCUGAUGCCACAAACUCUGAUGCAUGGGGCGGUGGAUUACAACAUUUCGACUGGGCCAUCUGAUUUUGCUUCGUUGAAUGAUAUUGAUAUCAAAGCUGGAAGGCCUAGUCCUUACAUGGUAUUAUAUUUCUGCUCCUGAGUAAUUUAGCUUAGAUUACAUGGUAAAUGGUAUAAUAAUAUGUUUGAUUUGUUACAUACACAAAGCUUUUAUGUUAUGUUAUCUCGUUGAUGUUCUUGUUGGUGGAUUAUAAGAAGUAUUAUAUGUCAAAACAUAAUUUUAUGUAAAUAAGAUGGCUGAUGGAAUUGCUUUUUUGGUGUCCAUUGUACAGCUUAUGAUGAGGAUGGUGAUGAUUUGAAUAGAGGAGCUUCUCAUCAACCUUUGACUCAGGACUUCUUCGUGACGUCCUCUAGAAAACGGAAAUGGGACGAUUACACUUCUCUAGCUGCUAGAGUUUAUUUACUUAGAUUAACUAAGGUCCAGGAGCUAAUGCAGGAGAAGGGGCUUAUGUACAAAAAGUUGAAGUUGGAACUGUUGCUAAAGAUUGCUUACUUGCAACGCUGAGAGCUGAUCCUAAAGCUGGCCCAUUAUGGAUGAACCUUGCAAAUGCAUACCAAGUGGUCGGUGAUUAUAGGAAUGCAAAGAAGUGCUUGGAGCAGGUAUAUGCUUUUCUUCUCAAAGCUAGAGCCAAAUCAAAUGUCUGCUCGUUAUGCUGUUGCCACUCAUCGAAUAAAAGUUGCUAAAAGGUCUCAAGAUUGUACAGAACAAAGGACGUGUUAUAGAAGAAAAGAGAAAGAAUUAGAUGCUUCAACAACGCUUAGAUGAGCAGGAGUAACAAUAAUAAAGGAUGUCUGAGUUGAAGUCACAAGUGAAAGCUAUGCAAUAACUUUUUUUUAGGCAAUCACCUUCAUUGACUUCUCAAACUCGAGAACAUGUGUAGGACUAGGCUAUCCAUGCAAGAUUAGGAGGGGGUAGCUCGAGUCUUCUUUUGACGAUGAUUAGAGAUGAAAGAAUGUGUCUUUCCCAAACUAUUAUUUUUUAGGCUAUCCAUGCAAGAUUAGGAGGGGGUAGCUCGAGUCUUCUUUUGACGAUGAUUAGAGAUGAAAGAAUGUGUCUUU